CGCCCCCCUGCGGCGGGGAGGGCUGCUGCAGCUCCGCGCCUGAGGGAGGCGCCGGGCCGCCAUAUUGCCCGCGUCGGGAUAGGGCUACCCCAACGUCACCGGGCACCCCGGCGGCACGAAGAGCUGCAGGUGAGGGGCUCUAAUGCCGCCCUCACGCCUUGCCCGACCUUCCCUGUAGUGUUCUGAACCUCCAGAGCCGACCGCGUGGUGGUGAACUGCUGGGAGGAAGGUGGUGGGCAGAGCCGUGGCCUGGUGUGAAGUGCGCCCUUCUGAGAGUCGCUCACAGUGGGGUUGCACGUGUUGUGUUCCAGUAUAUGAAAUUGUUGCAGAAAAUGAGCCCAGAUAACAGCCGCUGA
rnacentral:lncRNA from 1 species